UAAGGAAUAUUGGUCAAUGGACGCAAGUCUGAACCAGCCAUGCCGCGUGAAGGAUGAAGGUCCUCUGGAUUGUAAACUUCUUUUAUCUGGGACGAAAAAAGGGUAUUCUUACUCUCUUGACGGUACCAGAGGAAUAAGCACCGGCUAACUCCGUGCCAGCAGCCGCGGUAAUACGGAGGGUGCAAGCGUUAUCCGGAUUCACUGGGUUUAAAGGGUGCGUAGGUGGGCAGGUAAGUCAGUGGUGAAAUCUUCGAGCUUAACUCGGAAACUGCCAUUGAUACUAUCUGUCUUGAAUAUCCUGGAGGUGAGCGGAAUAUGUCAUGUAGCGGUGAAAUGCUUAGAUAUGACAUAGAACACCAAUUGCGAAGGCAGCUCACUACGGGAU
rnacentral:rRNA from 1 species